rnacentral:lncRNA from 1 species
CUCUGCUAUAGCUUUGGCACUUGAAGUGCGUUUUUCGCAAGUAUAAUGCGAGCUCCUCCACCACACACCAUCAUAAUAAGGUUUAUGAUAUUUACAGAACAGACCUGGGCUACAUGCAGUGCUGGUAAAAUAUUCCCUGCACCUUUCGCCUUCAACUUUGCCACAUAUCAAGCAACACCCGCAUAAACUGUAUACCAGACCGCCCUUGCAUCGUCGUUUCAACGACUCUAUACUCUCACACCAUGCCCAGUCGCAAUCGCCGAUGCAAACGAAUCCUUGUGCUCCAUAAACUGACACGACAAACAAGAAAACGAGUGACACUAUGGUAUUCAUAUUUUCGUAAAAUUAUUUCGAAAGUGUAUUCCUUCGUUUGUUAAUUAAACGUUUCAGUGUGACGGCCUUGAUCAACGACAACUUAUAUAUAGUUUAAACAGUAUGUCUUCAAUCAAUUUGAUAUACGUGUUUCCCGAUAAUAUACUCCAAUCGACUGCUUUCGUCUGUUUCAUACAACCAAUGACUUCGUCAAUG